rnacentral:rRNA from 1 species
AUUGAACGCUGGCGGCAGGCCUAACACAUGCAAGUCGAACGAGUGGCGGACGGGUGAGUACUGUCUGGGAAACUGCCCGAUGGAGGGGGAUAACUACUGGAAACGGUAGCUAAUACCGCAUACCAUCGGAUGUGCCCAGAUGGGAUUAGCUAGUAGGUGGGGUAACGGCUCACCUAGGCGACGAUCCCUAGCUGGUCUGAGAGGAUAACCAGCCACACUGGAACUGAGACACGGUCCAGACUCCUACGGGAGGCAGCAGUGGGGAAUAUUGCACAAUGGGCGCAAGCCUGAUGCAGCCAUGCCGCGUGUAUGAAGAAGGCCUUCGGGUUGUAAAGUACUUUCAGCGAGGAGGCGUUACCCGCAGAAGAAGCACCGGCUAACUCCGUGCCAGCAGCCGCGGUAAUAC